rnacentral:lncRNA from 1 species
AACUGUAGAGAUUUGCAAAGAGAAAAAUGAUAGACAGGUGCAGACUUCCUAUUAUUUAAUUGAUCUCCAUUAAUUGUAGAGAUUUCUUUUUUAGAGUCAUUCUCUAAGUCCAACACUUCUAUAGUUAUUUUCUUAACUAUCAUAAAUGAAAUAAACAACUUAAAAGUAAUUAUCCUUAAUUACAUUAUAACUAAUUAAUUUUCUCUUGUGGGCCUUGUAUUUUUCGGCUAGACUUACAAAAUUAGUAGUCUAUGCUUCUUAGUUCUAAACUUUUGCAGCAACUGUCCAAUUUAAGCCGAUUUAUGUAUAUUUAGCUCAUAUUCUCCCUUUGGCUAUUAAUACGUGAAAUUAGACAAUAAGACUAAAGUAAGAUAAUAAGUACAUAUUUCAAUAUAUUAUAUAUAUAAAAUCACAAUAUAUAUAUAUAUAUAUAAAAUAUGAACCUAUCAAUCCAUAUAUUAGAAGUGGUGAUUGUCCUAUAUUCUUAAGCAACCUCGCAUUUAGAUCCUCACACAUAAAAAUCAAUAGUAUUUGAGCAUUACAAGCUAUACCAUAAAGCAAGUGAACUUAGUUCUUUGCCUUAUAAUAUUAGACUAGCUUUCUUGUGACAUGUCUUUUUUUACCUUUGUAAAAUGUCAAGUCUUGUCUUUAAUAGGUCAUAAUUUGUCUAAAGUAAAAGGUGUUUUUCUUUUAACAAUGAGUAAAACUUGUUUAAAGUAAUAAAAACUAAAUAAUUUUUUUAAAAACAUAAUAAAAAUAUAUCAUCUUAAAACUUUUAUAUAUAUUAAACAUACAAAAAGUGAAUGCAGAAGGCAACAAACAAACAACCAUUAAGAAAAUCCUCAUAUUGUCUUCCUUAUUUUAUUUAAAAAAAAGACAACAAACAAACUAAUUAUAAUAAUAAAAAAAACUCUUUCACACUGGAGUUGCACUAAAAAUAAAAUAGUUAAUACUUGAACCUUCAUGUUAACUUUUUCUCACCAAAUUUUACCUUCAUAAACAGGAAAUAACUAUAUAACAAAAAUUCAUAAGAUUAUUUCUAUAAACUUUAAUAUAUGUGCUAUCUCUAAAAUUUUUAAAUUAAAUUUGAAAAUCUAGACACUUAUUUUCAACCAAAUUCCAAUUAUUGCACAAGAUAAAAAAAAAAGCCAAGAAUCAUUUCUGCAAAUAAAAAUUUAAAAGAAAAAAAUUAAUCUUCAUAAAUAUAAAAAUUAAUCAAAUAUUAACCAUAUUCAUCUUAAAAUUAACCAACUAUCAACUGAAUAAGUAUAAUAUAUCAUUUGUAAUAAGCGUAGUAAAUAGAAAAAUAUUUAAAAUGAUUAAAGAGUGAUAAAAAAAAUGACGAUCACAUCCAACAUAUACUAGUCCAUAAUAUACCAUUAUUUUAAUUUAAUUCCAUUAAAUCUUAAUCUAAAUUAAUUUUGAUGGGUCCAUUAUUAUUCUAAUCAAUUCUUUUUAAAAGUAAAAAGAGGAAAAAAUGGUAAUAACAUUAGUAAUACCGAGUUAAAAUCUAUGCCAAUCGGCAUUAUCUUCAUUUUGUUUUCUUUUUGAUAAAUGAAAAAACUAGCAACAAAAUCUGUCUUUUGAAAUCUGACAACCAAAAUGCCUAAUGAACCACACCCUAAUGUCUCUCUCUAGCCCUAGCCUAGAAAAAAAUAACAAACACAGAGAGUAUAAAUCAUAAUGAAAACAAAAACAAAAAUAAUAUUUCUCAUCUUCUCUUUCUAGUCAUUUUUUUUUUUUACUCUCCCAUAUUUGACAUAAAGCAAAUUGAGCUAGUAAGAACAAGAAGAAGAAAAGAAGAAACACUUAUUCUUUUUCAUAAAACAAGAAAUAGAAGGGAAAAGGUAGUGAUGGAAAAAAGAAAAGAAAAACAACAUUCUUAUUUCAAUUCAAAUAACGAAAGUGAAGAUAUAAGAAAUGUAAAUAAAUUAAAGUUGGAGUUUUUGUGUCUUGUGAUAGUGACUUUUAAGGAGAGAGAAAAAAGAAAAUUAUUAAAAAUAAAUAAAAAAAUGUAAAAAAAAAUAAAAGACAAAAAUGCUUAUUUUUAAAAAAUGAUGUAUGUAGUAUAAAAUUUUUUAAAUAGACAUUACGAAUUUAUUUAUUAAAAAAAUUUGAAAUUAAAGUUUUUUUUAACUCAAUCACAACUGAGGAGGCA